UGUGUGUAUGUUGUUACAGAAUUCCAUCUGCAGCGGCAGACUGCAGAAGAUGACAUGAUGCGUGAUCAUUUCUCAAUGAUAAACACACAGACAAUAAUU